UAAGGAAUAUUGGACAAUGGAGGCAACUCUGAUCCAGCCAUGCCGCGUGAAGGAAUAAGGCCCUAUGGGUUGUAAACUUCUUUUAGACGGAACAAAACCCCUUUACGUGUAAAGGGUUGAUGGUACUGUCAGAAUAAGCAUCGGCUAACUUCGUGCCAGCAGCCGCGGUAAUACGAAGGAUGCAAGCGUUAUCCGGAAUUAUUGGGUUUAAAGGGUGCGUAGGCGGACUAAUAAGUCAGUGGUGAAAGCCUGCAGCUUAACUGCAGAAUUGCCAUUGAUACUGUUAGUCUUGAGUACAGUUGAGGUAGGCGGAAUGUGUCAUGUAGCGGUGAAAUGCUUAGAUAUGACACAGAACACCGAUUGCGAAGGCAGCUUGCUAAGCUGUAACUGACGCUGAGGCACGAAAGCGUGGGGAGCAAACA
rnacentral:rRNA from 1 species